GCAGAGUUGGAUGGAAAGAAGCCCAGUUGACACCACGGUCAUGACCUUCCAAUACAUAUUUGACCACAGCAUCAACACCUCCAAAAAGAUCUGUAUUCAUCUGACUUAACCGCAAAAUGUCAUCUGCAGGGGAUACUGUCUUCUUUCUCAAGGCACCUAUGUCCCAAACACGAACAGUCUGAUCUAGGGAGGCAGACACAACAAGGUCAUCCUUAGGGUGGAAUGAAGCACACAUAACAUAAUGAUUGUGGCCGGUCAACACAGAAAUGCAAGUACGAGACUGCCA
rnacentral:lncRNA from 1 species